rnacentral:rRNA from 1 species
CCUACACGAAGCUGGAAUCGCUAGUAAUCGCGGAUCAGCACGCCGCGGUGAAUACGUUCCCGGGCCUUGUACACACCGCCCGUCACACCAUGAGAGUCUGUAACACCCAAAGCCGGUGGGAUAACCUUUAUAGGAGUCAGCCGUCUAAGGUAGGACAGAUGAUUAGGGUGAAGUCGUAACAAGGUAGC